rnacentral:rRNA from 1 species
UGGGGAAUAUUGCACAAUGGGCGAAAGCCUGAUGCAGCAACGCCGCGUGAGUGAUGAAGGCCUUCGGGUCGUAAAACUCUGUCCUCAAGGAAGAUAAUGACGGUACUUGAGGAGGAGGCCCCGGCUAACUACGUGCCAGCAGCCGCGGUAAUACGUAGGGGGCUAGCGUUAUCCGGAUUUACUGGGCGUAAAGGGUGCGUAGGUGGUUUCUUAAGUCAGGAGUGAAAGGCUACGGCUCAACCGUAGUAAGCUCUGGAAACUGGGGAACUUGAGUGCAGGAGAGGAAAGUGGAAUUCCUAGUGUAGCGGUGAAAUGCGUAGAUAUUAGGAGGAACACCAGUAGCGAAGGCGGCUUUCUGGACUGUAACUGACACUGAGGCACGAAAGCGUGGGGAGCAAACA